UAGUUUUUUACUGCCGCCCGCGAAAUUUUUGUAAUAUCCAUUCCGACACCCAUUUAUCUUUUGCUAUAUAUCUAUUCGGUUUUCCUUCGCUUAAUUUGUUUGUUCGGGUCCAAUUUUUGAUCGAAUCGCUUGCAUUUGUUGCCCUAAUGGUGGGAAAAUGGGGUUUGGGCCCUCUUUUCUGACUCUUUUUUCUUCAAUUGCCGAUAGCUUCAUGCUGCUGAAUUGAUUUUUGCAUCUAAUAUAAACAUGUUCACAUAUAUAUGUAUUCUGUGUGUUAAGUUGAUGUUAGACCCGAAGUUUCCGAAUCUAAUCGGUUUAAAUUCAAAUUCUUAUUAUUUUUGGGAGUUCUUGCGGUUUAAGCUAAACUCUUGAACCUUUGAGCAACCUCCUUAGCUAAAUUCGGUAUAAUAUUCUGUUGCUUUUUCACUUUUUUUUUUCCCUUAUUCCAUUAAUCCCAUUGAGCAAACUUAUAAUGUGAACUUGCACCUUUCAAUUUUUAUGUAUAAUUGUUUCUUAUGGCUAGUUUUAGAUGCUCACCUAGACAGUUCGAUGGCUAUUCUGAUGGAAACAAUCAUGGCUUUUCUGAAGGAAACAACCAAAGUAUUUUGAUGGCCAAAUCUUCCUUAAUUUAAGAAACCAUGUAGUGCAGUUAUGCGUGCUUUUUGCAGUUUGUGGGGAAGCAGAUAUUGCAAGUAGUCUCUCUCCACCCUCAGUGAUGCUGAACCUUCAAUUAUAACAAUGAACUUUUGUUGACAUAGCUCUUCAACUUUGUUUUAUUUCUGUUGUUUCUAUGGUUGGUGAAUGGAACGAUAGGGAUGGAAUAGGGAGGACUUCGACCUUGAAAGUUUCAAGGUCUAGUCAUGUAUCAAGCUGCAGUUAACCUGCAUACUAGUUAUGGUGACAAUGCACAAUCCGAUCAAGUAAAAUUAUCAGGUGCAACCAAGUAUCAAGCUAAGUUCUCCGUUGGCCUACAUACAAACUUGCGAUGAAAAUCUGCUCAACCCAACUUCUCUGGUCCAACCAAGUAUCAAGCCAACCCAAAUCAAAUACUAGUUCUGGUGGAAGUAUAUAAUUUGCUCCAGCCCAAGGGACUGUUUGGAGGACUCGAUUGUUUGAUUGCCAUGAAGAUGAGACAAAUGGUUUUCAAAGAAUUGUUUGUUGAUGGUGGUUUCUUCAAGACCUAGGAUACUGCUAUACAUGAUGAGGAUGGUUACUAAAUCAUAAUAGGACGCCUGAGCACCGAUAUCAUGAAAGUCGGAGGAUAUAAAUUAUCAAGCGUUGGAGAUUGAAUCCGUGAUUUUGCAGGUUACCUCAUUGUUGUCCUUUGUACUCUCUCUCUCUCAAGGAAAGUGAAAGACAACCCCCACACCUACUACAAGAAAAGGAAGAAUAAAGAACAUGAAAAGACCACCAGCCAAAUCACUUUGUGCAGCUUCUGUCUGUCAUAGAAUGUUGUGUGUUGGGAUUACCAGACAAAGACUAUGGAGAACGUGUUUGUGCAAUUAUUAUGCUUCAGCAUAACACAAAAAUGACUGACGCCUGAUGAGUCCAAGCCUACUAUGAGCUCAAAUCAACUCCCCACAUGGGCUAAAGACAACUUUGCUCCAUUCAAGUUAUUGUUCAUGUUACUGUUGAUAGACUCGCCGCCUUGGAACACCAUGGGAGGAAAGGUCAACAGAAAAGAGCGGAAGAAAAAGGUAUUGGAUCUAUUGGUGAUGAAAAGUGAGACAUCAAUUAUUUGAUAACCUGUAAUUAGUGUUGUCAAGCAAUUAAUUAACCGAAGAAACAAUCAGCUUUCUACUAAGAAAGUUGUAGAUUUUGGAGUGAGUUGGGAAUAAAUAAUGGCAAUCAGUUUGUGUUGUAGGGUGAGACCACUCGUAAGAGAGACCGAAAACGAGAGUUCAAAAGAACCCAUUUUGCAUGGAUGGGGAGUUCAGUUGGUUAAUUUUACUCGAGUUUGACAUCACCAAAGAGUGGAACAAAACCCAUUUCCUCUUCUCGUUUGAGUCAUCCGUACAAAAACCCAAGCAUCCAACAUCGACAAUUCGUCCUCAUUCGAGCUUAUCUUUCCAUCAUCCAUGGCGGUUCUUCUCUGAUCCACACUCGGUCCAUAUGCCCAACUACACACAACAUAAUACAACACAUUGAUAACACUCAAAAUUGCAAGAAGCCAAUAAUACUUCUCGAAAUGCCCUUUGUUUAUGUUCUUCGAAACCCAACUCUCUUUUCCACCCUUGGAAGUAACAUUAUCCACUGUACUCAUAAUCGCACUCGCCAACAAAUUGGCCACAGCCAUUCCCAAUCCAAACAACGAUGAAGCAACGCUCGACAUCGUCUUCGGAAAUUCAGAGUAAUAAAACUCUGUUUGUCCGAUCGCAUUCAGGGCUUCCGCUAAUCCAUUCAAGCAAUGUUGUGGAAUUAGCCACAAAGCCGACAUGUCGACCACGGCGUCCAGAUCAUCCACUAUUCCUUGUGCGAUGGCUUUUCUACGGCGGACGUUUUCGACGAUGGCGGAGAGUGCCAUGGACAUGGCGGAGCAGAUUAGACCGGCGCCCAUUCGAGAUUUGACGCCGAAAUGAACUGGCUUUCCGCGGAUUUUGGAGGCGAGAGGGAGAAUGGCGCGGUCGUAGAGGAUGACCCAGAUGACGAUGGUGAUGAUGACGAAGGUGCCGAAGGAACCGGCGGGGAUUUGGAAAGUGGAAGAGAUGUGACGGUCCAUGGAUUUGGCUUGAAGAAGAGGGAAAGAGCUUUGGCUGACGUUAAUGGACAUCAUUACGCCGGUGGACCAGAUGGGGAUUACUUUGAUUAGGGUUUUGAGUUCUUCUACUUGCUCUACGGUGCAUAAACUCCAUGGAUUUGCUGCCGUUCCGUCGCCGGCGAUGUCUUGCUCUGGAUUCUUCACUACACAGGCUUUGUUCAAAAACCUAAGUAAAGCAUUUUCAAAUUCAAAUAUCACAUUCAUGUUAAAAGUUAAUUAACACAAACAUUAAAGUUUAGGUUA